GGGUCAGUAGGUUGGUCGUGCCACCGGUACGUACUGGUCUCGCUGAUUCCUCCUUCCUGAAGAACCGUAAUGCCAUUAAUUUGGUGUUGCGGGGAAGCAGGACUGUUACUUUGAAAAAAUUAGAGUGUUUAGAGCAAGCUAACGCUUGAAUACAUUAGCAUGGAAUAAUGAAAUAGGACGAUCGAUCCUAUUUUGUUGGUUUCUAGGAUUGACGUA
rnacentral:rRNA from 1 species